UGUUUUUCUGGAAGGCACGCGCCUUUUUUCGUCUUUUUCACUUGCGUUUACUUAAGUGAAGGAGUUAGAAGUGACAGAAAUCUACGAGCAAUUAACUUUGUCAAAUUCAAUAGUGUCUUAAAAUUGAAAUAGAAACAAUUCCCAGACAAGGCUGAUGGUAAAAAUGGAUGGCUAAGUCGAUCCAUUUUAAGCAUAUUAUCCGAGGAACUUGUUCUGUCCCACAACUUGGAGGGGGCCAAAACAAGAAGAAGCUCAAAGUCUACCCAAAUUUCGUCCGCGCCUUGUUAAAUUCAAUCGCUCUGGUGGAGCCCUCGGAGCCUCCCGAAAAGGCACUGCAAAAAGCAAUGAGGUGCGUGAAAAACCAGAUGCUGAAGAACCGACGACUCCGAUAACACCGGGAACCCCCGAACUGAAAUUUUAAAUAAAAAUAAAUAAAAAUAAAAAUUACAAUUGAAAUUAUAUUUGCUGCUAAGCGCUCAACGGGUGCCGAAUGUGUGCCUUUUCUACUGCCUAAUCCAGCGCUCAACGU